GUUGUGCUGUCCAGGUGCUGGAUCAGUGGUUCGAGUCUGAGCCUUUAAAAGCCACUCUAGCCACAGAUGCAGUGAUUGGAGCCAUGACAA
rnacentral:pre_miRNA from 10 species